UACGUAGGUGACAAGCGUUGUCCGGAUUUACUGGGCGUAAAGAGCGCGCAGGCGGUCGAUCAAGUCGAGUGUGAAAGCCCCCGGCUCAACUGGGGAGGGUCAUUCGAUACUGAUCGACUCGAAGGCAGGAGAGGGUAGUGGAAUUCCCGGUGUAGUGGUGAAAUGCGUAGAUAUCGGGAGGAACACCAGUGGCGAAGGCGACUACCUGGCCUGUUCUUGUCGCUGAGGCGCGAAAGCUAGGGGAGCAAACGGG
rnacentral:rRNA from 1 species